rnacentral:rRNA from 1 species
AGAGUUUGAUCCUGGCUCAGAAUCAACGCUGGCGGCGUGCCUAACACAUGCAAGUCGAACGCGAAAGCGGCCUUCGGGCUGCAAGUAGAGUGGCAAACGGGUGAGUAUCGCGUGGGUGACCUGCCUUCGAGUGGGGGAUAACCUUCCGAAAGGGGGGCUAAUACCGCAUAACAUCCCACCCUUGGAUGGGUGAUGAUCAAAGCCGGGGAUCGCAAGACCUGGCGCUUGGAGAGGGACCCGCGUCCGAUUAGCUUGUUGGUGGGGUAGCGGCCUACCAAGGCGACGAUCGGUAGCCGGCCUGAGAGGGCGUACGGCCACACUGGGACUGAGACACGGCCCAGACUCCUACGGGAGGCGGCAGUGGGGAAUUGUUCGCAAUGGGCGCAAGCCUGACGACGCAACGCCGCGUGGAGGACGAAGAUCUUCGGGUUGUAAACUCCUGUCGAGCGGGAAGAACAGCGAGCGGGUUAAUACCCCGAGCGCCUGACGGUACCGCUAAAGGAAGCCCCGGCUAACUCCGUGCCAGCAGCCGCGGUAAUACGGGGGGGGCAAGCGUUGUUCGGAAUUACUGGGCGUAAAGGGCUCGUAGGCGGCCCUCCAAGUCGGACGUGAAAUCCCUCGGCUCAACCGGGGAACUGCGUCCGAUACUGGUUGGCUUGAAGCCGGGAGAGGGAUGCGGAAUUCCAGGUGUAGCGGUGAAAUGCGUAGAUAUCUGGAGGAACACCGGUGGCGAAGGCGGCAUCCUGGANCGGUCUUGACGCUGANGAGCGAAAGCUAGGGGAGCAAACGGGAUUAGAUACCCCGGUAGUCCUAGCCCUAAACGAUGAAUGCUUGGUGUGGCGGGUAUCGAUCCCUG